rnacentral:rRNA from 1 species
ACUCAAAUGAAUUGACGGGGGCUCACACAAGCGGUGGAGCAUGUGGCUUAAUUCGAAGCAACGCGAAGAACCUUAUCCUGGGCUUGACAUGCAAGGAUUAGUCUGGUGAAAGCCAGAUGACACCUUCGGGUGGAACUUGCACAGGUGCUGCAUGGCUGUCGUCAGCUCGUGCCGUGAGGUGUUAGGUUCAGUCCUUCAACGAGCGCAACCCCUGUCGCUAGUUGCCAUCGGGUAAUGCCGGGAACUCUAGCGAGACCGCCGGCGUCAAGUCGGAGGAAGGUGGGGAUGACGUCAAGUCCGCAUGGCCUUUAUGCCCAGGGCUGCACACGUGCUACAAUGGCGGGUACAAAACGAUGCAAUACCGCGAGGUGGAGCAAAUCGCAAAAGCCCGCCCCAGUUCAGAUUGCAGGCUGCAACCCGCCUGCAUGAAGUCGGAAUCGCUAGUAAUCGCAGAUCAGCUACGCUGCGGUGAAUACGUUCCUGAGCCUUGUACACACCGCCCGU